rnacentral:rRNA from 1 species
UACAGAGGGGGCAAGCGUUUGUUCGGAAUUACUGGGCGUAAAGGGCGCGUAGGCGCCUUCUAAGUCGAACGUGAAAUCCCCGGGCUCAACCCGGGAACUGCGUCCGAUACUGGAAGGCUUGAAUCCGGGAGAGGGAUGCGGAAUUCCAGGUGUAGCGGUGAAAUGCGUAGAUAUCUGGAGGAACACCGGUGGCGAAGGCGGCAUCCUGGACCGGCAUUGACGCUGAGGCGCGAAAGCCAGGGGAGCAAACGGG